AUAUCAGUCAUGCAUAGCAUAUCAAUAAGCGGAGGAAAAGAAACUAACAAGGAUUCCCCUAGUAACGGCGAGUGAAGCGGGAAGAGCUCAAAUUUGAAAUCUUAAAGGGUUUCCCUUUACGGAUUGUAGUUUAAAGAAGUGUUUUCUGUUAGAGUUUCGGUAAAAGUUCUUUGGAAUAGGACAUCAUAGAGGGUGAGAAUCCCGUAUUUGACCGUUAUUUCUAGCUUUGUGAUACACUUUCAAAGAGUCGGAUUGUUUGGGAAUGCAGUCCAAAAUGGGUGGUAAAUUUUAUCUAAAGCUAAAUAUUGGCGAGAGACCGAUAGCGAACAAGUACCGUGAGGGAAAGAUGAAAAGAACUUUGAAAAGAGAGUUAAACAGUACGUGAAAUUGUCAAAAGGGAAGCGUUUGACACCAGUGUUGUUUUCUCGAAAAUCAAUUAAAAAUGAUGGGAUUUUGUGUUGUAUUGACUUUAUCAGCUUUCUGCACUUUUUUCUUAUCUUUUUUAAUGCACUUUUCGUUUAACAAGUCAACAUCAAUUUCUUUUGUUGUAAAAGAGUCAUUGGAAGGUGGCUUUUUCUUCGGAAAAAGUGUUUAUAGCCUUUUAACUCUGCAAUCGGAGAGAUUGAGGUCUGCAGCGUAGAUCCUUCGGGGUUAGAUACAUUUGUGCUAAGUUAUAGCUUUCCAUAGACAACUUGUUGACUAUGUUAAGUCUUGUAAUUUACUCGCAGAUGCUAUUUUACCUACGCUUAGGAUGUUGAAGAUGUAGCACAUCAU
rnacentral:rRNA from 1 species